CCGGCCGCUGGUGGGCGGCCGGACUGCUCGGCGCCUCCUACGCGCUGUGCGGCUGGAGCGUGGCGGACGCCGCGUACAACCCGAUGUGGCUCGAC
rnacentral:tRNA from 1 species